AUUGAACGCUGGCGGCAGGCCUAACACAUGCAAGUCGAACGGCAGCACAGAAGAGCUUGCUCUUUGGGUGGCGAGUGGCGGACGGGUGAGUAAUGUCUGGGAAACUGCCCGAUGGAGGGGGAUAACUACUGGAAACGGUAGCUAAUACCGCAUAACGUCGCGAGACCAAAGUGGGGGACCUUCGGGCCUCACACCAUCGGAUGUGCCCAGAUGGGAUUAGCUAGUAGGUGGGGUAAUGGCUCACCUAGGCGACGAUCCCUAGCUGGUCUGAGGGGAUGACCAGCCACACUGGAACUGAGACACGGUCCAGACUCCUACGGGAGGCAGCAGUGGGGAAUAUUGCACAAUGGGCGCAAGCCUGAUGCAGCCAUGCCGCGUGUAUGAAGAAGGCCUUCGGGUUGUAAAGUACUUUCAGCGGGGAGGAAGGCGGUGAGGUUAAUAACCUUGCCGAUUGACGUUACCCGCAGAAGAAGCACCGGCUAACUCCGUGCCAGCCGCCGCCGUAAUAC
rnacentral:rRNA from 1 species